rnacentral:lncRNA from 1 species
GAAUCUCUGAGAACCUCAAGAUAUCAAUCACCCCCCUUUCCAAAAUCCAGUGGAUCUGCAGAUAAUUCCAAGACUACACGACAGCAGGACCCAACAAAAUUAAAGCCGUAAAAACGUAUUAAACCAGAAGGUCUGAAAUUUCUCCAAAUAUUCCGUCAAAGAAAGAACCGACCACCUAAUCAAGACAAAUGGAAAAGAUUCGUCUAAUCUCCCAACUUUCAAGCCCAACCUCAACACCAAACCUUGAAAUCUUUAAAUUCCAGGGGAACAGAUAGAUUCUCCCCAAACUUGACGCGCUCCGGUGUCCAAGAUAAUCAAGAACUCAUACCGUUUAAAAGAAACAACGAAAGGAAGAUAGGAUCAGAGCUCAAAACUUAUUGCUGAUGUGAGGAUACAAAUAGCAUCAAAACUCAUCCAUUCAAAGGCUCAAAGAUCCAUAGAUUCUGCUUGGUUAUGAUAAAACCUCACAAAUCAUCGCAACGAUAAUCUUGAAACUCCACCUCGAUUCCCCCAUCCUUCAAGAUCUACGGCCUCAUACGGAGCUGGAUUCACAGAUCAAAUCACCGUGAACACGCCUCCGAGAUCCAACCACAUCAAACUUCCUAGAGAUCUGCAUCCAAACCAAGAAACCCCUGAAAACCCCAGCCAAUACCUACAAUCUCGAAGCGAGGACCGAAUUCCGCCCACCCAGCCAGUGCCAGCUCAAUCCUACGCCGUUUUCGCAGAUCCGAGGCUCGAAGCACUCCUCGAGACCUACGGAAUCGAUCGAGUCGGAGGAGGAACCCUAGAAAACUCCGCCAGGGGCAGCGAUUCGGGGGCUCGAGGAGGACGUUGCACGGGGAGAGGAAGAGAGGGGGAAAACUUAGUUUUUUAAAAUUGAUAAAUAUUUUUUUUCUUUAUGGUGAAGAAGAGCACCGGCUUUCUUUUAUUUCGGGAAAUUAGUUGACUCACCAACUUAAAAAUACUCAAUCCGCACACGCCAGUGGUUCCCGCAUAGUUGUAGGGCA